UCACGCGAUUUCAUCUGUGUUCAAGUAGCCAAGGGCAUGCACCGUAGGAAUUGUUUGACAUUUGCGUCACAAAUGUUUUUCUGAUCACCAAUGACCAAAAUCAAAUGUUUUUUCAUUUGUUUCUAGCUAUUAUGCUGCGAAUCUGCAUGGAGUUCAAGAAUCGCGAUUCAAUUUGAUAUACAGAAUAAAAUCUGUGAACAUCCUGUACACCUGUUUUCAAUAUGCAACAUUGAUUUCAGGACACAUAAAAUUUGGCUUCCUGUAAUGGUGUUAAGAGGAAGUAACCCAACCAGCUAAGUGUGAUGUGACCAAUUUGUAAUGCUUUACAACACUAAAAGUGUUUACUUCUAGCAGGUCUAUUUGGUCUAUGCAUAAAGGCUCUUGUGUGAAAGAAGUAGCAUUAUCACCAUAUCUGAUACUAUGAGCUUCCCAAACAUAAAAUCUAACAGCUCGUAAGAAUUUUUACAGGUUAAACAGGAUUACAUUUCAUGUGUAAUUCUUUCAAGUUCUAACAUUGUGGAAUAGUUUGCAUAAAACUGGUUGAAAGCAUCUGCGUCAUUUGUAAUGUUUCGAAGCACUUAUAGAUGGCGUUGCGUUCUCUAAUCGAUAUGGAGCGUUGGUGUCAUCUCGAUUUCUGAAAUGUUCGAAUCGAUGUCCUCAAACCAUAAACCAAAUCGAUAGAAUCGAUGGCGCCAUCCAUUUUUAUUGAAGACCACGUAAACCGGCUGUUCAACGUGCAGCAUGCAUGAAAUUCAGCUUCAUGUAGUUGUGCUUAAGUUUUACAGGGAUGACGUUUCCCACUUGGCUGGUAUUUCGGUGACCAGGAGACAUCUAAUGUUUGAGAGAUACAGCAAAAAUGAAGUAAGUGUGAAGCAAAUGGACUCGACUGAGAUCCAUUUAUCUAGUAGUUAGUUAAUAUGUUCAUUAAUGUUGAAUUUGUAUGAUGAUGCAUCUGGUCAGAGUGUUGAUAAGAAUUUCAGGGCGUCUGCUGGAGGUGUUAUUGUUGCGAACUUUGAUGUAAAUCUCACUAGCUUGACCAAAAGAACAGGACAGCUGAAAACUUCUGUCACAGAAAUAGUUAAGCGACACUGUCAACAUGUUGAUCGAAUAACUAUGAAGAAAAUAUAGCUCAGUCUUAUUGAUGCCCAGGACUAUUACUGCUAGACAGCCAUUUUAAAAUCGGGCAUUCGUCGCUGUUCCGUAGACGGUGACUAAUUACAGCUCACGCAGUCCAGGCGUAUUCAGUAAUGUCAUUGUGAUCUCCGGCAUACAAAACACAAUCGAAAAGAGCGUCGGAAGGUAUUAGUUCUCUUCAUGCAUUAAUUCGCCAUUACCGUUUGCACACUAGGUGGUGCUGUCUACAGUUUGCGCUAGAUGGUGCUGGCAACAGCUUUGCGCUAGAUGGUGCUGGCAACAGCUUUGCGCUAGAUGGUGCUGGCAACAGCUUUGCGCUAGAUGGUGCUGGCAACAGCUUUGCGCUAGAUGGUGUUGACAACAGCUUUGCGCUAGAUGGUGCUGGCAACAGCUUUGCGCUAGAUGGUGCUGGCAACAGCCUUACACUACGCGUUGGUUAACCGCUUAAGUGUAUCUGUGGGUAGUUUACAUUUUCUUUUUCUGACGGUGCACGCUGA